AGCCUUGACUCCAACACUCAUCAAAAUGAGCAGCUUCGCAGAAUUGCGAAAGAGGUUUUCACUUUGCCAAAUACAAUCACGUAGUCUCAGGAUUUAGCUGUCGCUGACAAAACCAGCAUUUAUUGCCCAACCCUUGUUGACCUGGAGGAGCUGGCGAUGAGCUGUCUUCUUAAGCCACUGCAGCCCACCUGCUGUGAUUAAUCUACAAUUCCCUUGGGAGAGAAUUCCGAGAUUUUAACCCAGUGGUACUGAAGGAACAGUGAUCUGUUGCCAAGUCAAGAUGAACUGGCUAUGGGAUGCACCUUACCCCGCAGCAGCCACAGUUGCCUCUGAGGCCACAGCACCAAG